AUUGAACGCUGGCGGCAAGCCUAACACAUGCAAGUCGAACGAGUGGCGGACGGGUGAGUACUGUCUGGGAAACUGCCCGAUGGAGGGGGCUAACUACUGGAAACGGUAGCUAAUACCGCAUACCAUCGGAUGUGCCCAGAUGGGAUUAGCUAGUAGGUGGGGUAAAGGCUCACCAAGGAAACGAUCACUAGCUGGUCUGAGAGGAUGACCAGCAACACUGGAACGGAGACAGGGUCCAGACGCCUACGGUAGGCAGCAGUGGGGAAUAUUGGACAAUGGGCGCAAGCCUGAUGCAGCCAUGCCGCGUGUAUGAAGAAGGCCUUCGGGUUGUAAAGUACUUUCAGCGGGGAGGCGGUACUCGCAGAAGAAGCACCGGCUAACUCCGUGCCAGCAGCCGCGGUAAUAC
rnacentral:rRNA from 1 species